UUUCGGCCCUUUGCCACUUCCUCUGCACAAAUCACCUCUGUCACCCCCUUGAAGUUCCCAAAUGCUGGGCCCAGCACAUCUUUUCACUCCAUACCACUGGUCAGCUGCGGUGCUGGCUGCCCCUGUGCCAGGGCCCUGCCUUAACCCAGUUCUCUGUGACCUGGGUGGUGGCGGAGUGGGGAGUCACAUAAUACUAAGCAUGGCUGUCCUAGGACUCACCCUGCACCAGGGCCCUAGGCAGGGCAGGCACUCUGUGGCCAUGUCUGACAUAGCCUGGUCUUGGGAGUGCUCCGGGCAAGCCAAGGGAGAUGGCAUGAUUUGGGCCAGAGAUGGGGGCAGAGGGCAUAACAGACAGGGGCAGGGCACCACCUGGGCCCCGGGUGGCAGCUAAGAGGACCCUGACAAAGCGAGUUGUGAUUGAGGGUCUGUGGGCAGAGGAGCAAGGUGGCCAGAGCCUGGCGUGUCAGCACGGAGGGGGCGCUGCAGAGGGUGGCGGCUGCUUCUCAUCCCCAGGCGGGAGUCUCAGGGCAGGGGAGAAUGUUUUGAAGGAACAUCACAGGAAAUGACAAGGCCUUGGGGGAUGGGAUGGGGACAGUCAAAGAUGGCUUGGAAUCAUCAAGGGCAGCAGGGCACCCAGGGGCAAGGAGAGCAGACAUAGCUGCCGAAGGGGCGGACAUCCAAGGUUCUUUGGAAGCUGAGCGAUGCCAGCAUCUGGAGAGUGCCAGGCUGCU
rnacentral:lncRNA from 10 species